CAAUAAGGGCUUAUGUGGUCAUGUGCAUGGUUUGCCUCCAUGUAAUAAAUCUCUUUCAUUUAAUGAUCACGUGAAGAAACAUGACAAAUUCAUCCUCUUGACCGUUCUAAUAUGUAGCAUGUUACUUCUCUUAUUUAUGAUAGUUGGAAUAUUCACAUUACUUUCUUACAUAAGAAAGAGAUCCACUACAAAUGAUAUUGUGGAAGAAUUUGGAGGACAUUUCUCCUCCAUUUGGAGGGUUAAUCAUGGAAAAGAGGCAUACAAAAAGAUCAUUCAAGCGACAAACAAUUUUGAUGAGAGGUAUCAAAUUGGUGUUGGAGCUAGCAGUGUAGUCUAUAAAGCAGUACUAUUAUCAGGAGAGAUACUUGCUAUCAAGAAAAUUCAUGAAGGUCACAUGGAUGAGCAAUUCCAAAACGAAAUUCAAAUGUUAAACAAAAUUCGGCAUCGGAAUAUAGUGGGGUUCUAUGGGUUUUGCUCUACUAAUGAAUUUAGCUUUCUUGCGUAUGAGUUUAUGGAGAGAGGAUGCUUGGGUGCUAGUCUCAGAUCAGAACGAGAAGCCAUGGAGUUGUAUUGGAUCAAGAGGGUCAACAUUGUACGAGACAUUGCUCAAGCUCUAUCUUACUUGCAUCAUGAUUGCACUCCACCUAUCAUUCAUCGAGACAUAACAAGCAACAACAUUCUUUUAGAUGAGGAGUACAAGGCUUGUGUUUCAGACUUUGGUAUUUCUAGACUACUAAAACCGAACUCAUCACAUUGGAGUUUGCUUGCAGGGACAUAUGGGUACAUGGCACCAGAGCAUGCCUAUGUAAUGAGAUUAACUGAAAAAUCUGAUGUAUAUAGUUUCGGGAUUGUAGCACUUGAAGUGAUUCAUGGAACACAUCCCGGAGAUCUCCUAAGCAACUUAUCACUGAGUAUGUUAGUGAAAGAUAUGCUAGAUCCACGUAUUCCUCUUCGCUUAGCUGAUCAAGUGACCACAAACCAAGUGCUUUUAAUGAUUUUAAUAGCAAUGCAGUGCAUCAACAUUGAUCCACAGACUCGCCCUACAAUGCAACAAGUAUCUCAAAGGUUGUCUUUUUCAAAGUCCUUGGCAGCAUCUGACAUCAAUUCUUUUCAGGUACUUACCCUUGAUCACCUCAUAAACAUUGUACAAACACAUGUUGAUGAUCAAGAGCAUGAAUGAUGGGAACGUUGGGGAGGAAUAUAUAUAUUUCUAGUAAGGAAGAAAUACGUCUUUGAGAUCGUGCAAAUCUCAGGAAUUUGAGAUUUGGAAAAGCACGCUCAGGAGAUUGAGAUUUUGGUGAACAUGGCCUCCAAGUGUAAUGCAUGGUGGUGCUCUUGAGCACGGCAAGGAGUACGGGUGUGCUGAUCUUAGGAAUCGAGUUUAUGGAAGAGGACGGCUUUAAGCACGGGUGUGGUUUGACCCAUAAGUUGGCGAUCUUAAAAGCCCUCAUGACAUUUGAAGAGGAGUGAGAGAGAUAAAGAAAAGGGGUUUUGAGGAAUUGAAGAAGAGAGCUUGAGAUUGGCUUGAAAACUCCAAGAAGUUUGGUUUGAUCUUUCAAACAAGUGAAGAAGAGGAGUAAGCUUGUCUUUCAUGCUUUUUUGGAAUUGUAGCACUUGAAGUGAUACGCGGAACGCAUCCCAGGGAUCUCUUAAGCAACUUAUUAUUGAGUGUGAUAGUGAAAGAUAUCCUAGAUCCACGUCUUCCCCUUCAUAUAGGUGAUCAAGUGGCCACGAACCAAGUGCUCUUUGGUGAUUUUAAUAACAAUGCAUUAUCUCAUCACUGAUCCGAAGGCUUGCCCUAUAAUGCAACAAGUAUCUCAAAGAUUGUCUUUCUCCAAAGUCUGGGUCAACAUCUGACAUCUACUCUUUUCAAGCACUUACCUUGAUCACCUCAUGAAAAUUGUGCAAACACAUAUAUUCCUAGUAUUGAAGUGAUCCAUAUCUCGAGGCACAUCUGGCCGUUUAAUGCACAUCAGACGGCUGAAACCUCUCCCGCUCAUUUCAAAACCCAUCCCACAAAUCCAGAGCAGCGACCAUGGAGGGAAGUGAGAGCGUGGCCAUCUACGAUGCUUGCGAUCUCAACCCGCAGCGCUUCAUCAAUGAGGUCCUCAACGCCACCGUUCUGCCUCCAGCAGGCUUCAAUCAUGCAGGGGAUGUGGGGAGAAGCAAUCUGAUGAGCUUGCCAAGGUUUCUCCAGACCUUGCUACAACUUUGGAAGAAAAUUCCUGUAGAUUUCCAUCAGAAAUGUGUGGUUAUUUUCGAGGAUUAUGAACAAUUGAUCAUCAGACAAGACUUGUCUGUCAAGAAUUUAUCACUUGAACGAGGAUAUGAUGCAGAACUUGAUUCUCACUUGAACUCAUCAAGAGGGAAGCUUGUUGCAAUAAGUAUCUGUCAUUUGCUCAUGUUUAUUUGGUUUCCUUCAAGUCUGCUUCUCUGGAGACAAUUGCAAAUUUUCUAGGUUGGGA